UUCUUGCUUUUAUUUUAAACAAAAAUAUUUUGGUUGUAUUUAGUAUAUAUUUCAACAGAAAAUAAAAUGUGGAAUACGGUAAUUACUAAAGGCAUACCGUAAGUUCAGCUAAUCAACAUUUCGAAACAGGUAUCGAGCUGUUUGGAACCAACUGCAAAUACAGCACAAUCCCACCUCUGAGCAGUUAUAAAGCAGGUAUGUCUAAUCAGCGCUGCGCACCCGCCAGAUGCAGGGGGGGAUAUGCCCACCUAGCCUGCAUGCCGGAGGGCAAGAAAGGCACAUACUUAAAGACCAAGCUGCUUACAUAUGCAUUAGAUGUCCAAGAAAAGGUUGGGUUAUUACAAUGAGUCCCCAGAAUGACUGACACUUCCCCCCCCCCCCAAGUCUCAGCUCUUUUACACACACGUGUCUCUCGGUGGUCUUUCUGAUGAAGGUCAUCGUGCUAUUUUCUUGGGCUUGGGUUACGAUGGGUGGCUCUGAUUGGUCGUCUCAUCAGCCUCAACUCUGUUCACCAAUCCGCCGCUUCUUUGUUAAUUUGUGGUUUUACUGUUUGAGCCUGCUACCUUGCAUUCCAGAGAUAGGGGAGCUAACAAUGUUACGUGCAAAGACAGGACACCCGCUGUCUGCACUAACUGUCCAAGUCCGUAGAAAAGCAUCUGUUAUCAGCAGUGAGAACCUGGCUUAGCAAGGUCAGAUCUGCAGCUGCCGAUUCAACACCUCAUGAAGGCACAUAACUUUUAGCCUAAUCUGCUUUCCUCAAUUCACACCCCCCCAAAAUGAAACCCCAGCAUCCAGGAUUUCCAGUUAGCAAUGACUCAUUCAGUCUUGUUCAGUCAGAGAAAGAAGCAGCCUGCUGCUCCGAGGUAACAACCACACAGGGCUCAUGGCUAAUCAGUUUUUGGCUGUGGAAGCACUCCUGUAUUUUGGGUAAUGCGUGCAUUACUCUUUCAGUAGUUGUGCUUCUGUUAGAAGAAUGCAACAGAGCCCACCUUUAGGGAACCUGCAGAAGGACAGAGUUAGAUAAAACAACUACCAUCCUCAUCCAUGGAAACUCAACAACGAUACCGGUUUGUGUUGUUUGCAUGGGAAAUUUUUGUCAUCGGAAGAGCACA
rnacentral:lncRNA from 1 species